UCAGAUUAUAUCCUGUCUGAUUGGACAGUAUAUAAGUAUAAUUUCAAUGAUGAUUAAGUCAGACUGAUCAACAGUGUUGUACGAAUAAUUCGCAACCAACUACUAAAAUAAUAGAAUACCUGAAUAUAUAUAUAUAUAACCGUUAAGCAGUAAAAAAAUUUUAAAAAUGAAAAUUUUCAUAAUUUGUUUUCUAUUAUGUUUUAUUAUUUCCAUCGAAGGAAAGAAGAACCAACCAGAACCCGUUUAUAUAUACUACCACUCAAAUGAUGUAGCCAAAUUAAAUUGCCCAAAUGAUGAUUUUAAAGAAGUUAACUAUACUGGACGGUGCAUGGGAUUUGCAGAUUCAGGAUCAUUAAGAUUGAAACCAAUGCAGUGCAAUGGAAAGGCUUAUAGAUGUAAGAUGUAAAUCUACAUGAUUUCGAAUAAUUUGAAAAAAAAUAUAUGUUUCUUUAAUAAGUGAAUUACGAAUCACUUCGAUUAAAAUUUUCAGAAUAUAUUUCUUAUAUUUGUAAAAUCAGAGUUUCUUUGUACGAAUUUUAAUCAAUGCACACAAAAUUUAAUAAAGUUUAAAAUACAUUUAUUAAAAACUUUAAAAAAAAAUUAUUUUCUUUGAGAUGAAAAUUUUAUAUUUAAUUUUGACAGAGAGAAUAAGUUAAUGAUUUAAUAGAAAAUAUAAAAAUUAAUUCGAGGUUAUUAAAAAGCGUUUAAAACUGCCAUAGAAUAGGAGUCGAAUUAUUUUGUAAACAUAAAAGAUCCUAGAUAUUCUUAACUACCCAACCUUAUCCCCUGACCUCUACUUCAUAUCAUCUUUUGACAUUUUGUAAAAUAAAUAAAUCUGAAAUAAAUACCAAUUUUCAAAAUGUUUA